rnacentral:rRNA from 1 species
CCUACGUGAGGCAGCAGUGAGGAAUAUUGGUCAAUGGACGAGAGUCUGAACCAGCCAAGUAGCGUGUAGGAUGACUGCCCUAUGGUUUGUAAACUCUUUUUACAUGGGAAUAAAAUGUUCCACGUGUGGGAUUUCGUAUUUACCAUAUGCAUAAGGAACGCCUAACUCCGUGCCAGCAGCCGCGGUAAUAUGGAGGAUGCGAGCGUUACCCGGAUUUAUUUGGUUUAAAGGUAGCGUCGGUGGAUUGUUAAGUCAGUUGUGAAAGUUUGCGGCUCAACCGGACAAUUGCAGUUGAAACUGGCAGUCUUGAGUACAGUAGAGGUGGGCGGAAUUCGUGGUGUAGCGGUGAAAUGCUUAGAGAUCACGAAGAACACCGAUUGCGAAGGCAGCUCACUGGACUGCAACUGACACUGAGGCUCGAAAGUGUGGGUAUCAAACAGGAUUAGAUACCCGAGUAGUC